rnacentral:lncRNA from 1 species
AAUAGCAGGGCAGUGCACACCUCACCGAAGGUGGAUGUUACAGAGUAAACUUUGACCUGUUUACUUUCCCAAUACAAUAGCCAAAGUAUCUAAUUCGACCGUAAAAUCCAACACAUUGGUUGUGUUUGCGUGUGCGUGUUUUGCCGGCGCACAAUUUUUUUUUUUGCGGGGGGUAUUUCUGUUUCAAAGACUGUUUUUUUUUUUUUUUUUUUCAAAAAAUAAAUUGCUUGACAUUGCAAGUUUACCAAACCAAGUUGCCUCUCUUACUGUGAAGCACCACCUCAGUCCCGGUGAUGUGAGGCAUGAUGACACUAAGUAAUGCUGUCAAUCAUUUCCCCCCCAUGGCCCUCACUCACUGUCAGCAAAUACAGACAUGAUCACAUCGCCAUGCUCAAUUGCAAUUUUCACAUCACUGCAGUGUGUUAAAAACAAGCAGAUGUUUUAAAUAUCUAAACUGUCCCUUCUGCUUCCAAAAUCUCUUGCUACCAACAUUUCACCUCAAAUAAACACUAGAAGAUAACUGCAUGCCAGAGUAUAAGUCGUGUGUAGUAGCCCAGAAAUACUAAGAUCUUUCUUUUCUUUAACUAGUCCUGAAGAUGUAAUCUGCUGCUGUGGUUGCUAUGGGUCUUGGAGACGGGGAGUUUGCCGAAGUGUCUAGGUGGUGGGCAGGUGUCUGAUUGGCUAAUUCUUGAUGGCUCGUGAACUCUGCAGACAAUCUUGAAAUUGCUUUCUGAUUGGCCCAUUCUUGGUCAUUUUCGGUAGCGGAUGGAUACGUGAUUGAAUGCAAUUAUCAUAAUUGAGUGAUAUGCUCGACGUUGUGUUUUUUGUAAAAACAUUUGGAUCGAGCGGGUCAGUACACAGCGUUAUGGAAUACCAAGAAGACGCAGGCGCCAUUUCCAUGGAGUUUAGGAUACUUCUCGAAGAGGUGCCAGUUGUGAAACUUUAUUUUGGAGACUGGACACUGAUUAGACUCAUCGGCUCCUUUCUAGCUGGACAGCAUACUAGACAGGCACAGACCAGAGGUGACAAACCCAUAUAGGAAGGGAGAGAUGGGGAACCAGUGGGGGAAGGAAUACAUCGCAGACUACAGAGAGCUUCCCACAAGUCACCAUUCUCCUCGAGGCCAACACCAACAGGUGUAUCUGCGGUCAGAGAGGGUUUGAGAAUCACACCUUUCAGGAAAUGCCCACCCAAAGACUGUAGGGACCCUCUAUCUAUGUGCUGGCCUGUAGGCCUGAGAACCCCCCCCCCAUGUAUACAUAUAUGUAUAUAUAUCUAUGGGGCUCCCAGCCAGGGGUGAUUAGACUAUGCUUUGAUGAAGAGGGUUAAGGCUUAGCCAUGGGGUGCGCACAGGAGGCAUUGAUAACAGACCGAAUAAAGAUGGCGUCAAGCAUUAUGAGGCCA